rnacentral:rRNA from 1 species
AGAGUUUGAUCAUGGCUCAGGAUGAACGCUGGCGGUCUGCUUAACACAUGCAAGUCGAACGGAGUAGAAAUACUUAGUGGCGGACGGGUGAGUAACGCGUGAGAAUCUGCCUUCAGGACGGAGACAACAGUUGGAAACGACUGCUAAGCCCCGAUGAACCGAAAGGGAAAAUAUUUAUAGCCUGAAGAUGAGCUCGCGUCCGAUUAGCUAGUUGGGGGGGUAAAGGCCCACCAAGGCGACGAUCGGUAGCUGGUCUGAGAGGACGAUCAGCCGGAUUGGGACUGAGAUACGGCCCAGACUCCUACGGGGGGCAGCAAUUAGGAAUCUUGCGCAAUGGGGGAAACCCUGACGCAGCGACGCCGCGUGCGGGAUGAAGGCCUUCGGGUCGUAAACCGCUUUUCUCAAGGAAGAAGAAUGUGACGGUACUUGAGGAAUAAGCCCCGGCUAACUACGUGCCAGCAGCCGCGGUAAUACGUAGGGGGCGAGCGUUGUCCGAAGUUACUGGGCGUAAAGCGCGCGUAGGCGGCUUUCUAAGUCUGGUGUGAAAGGUUCAGGGCUCAACCCGAACAGUGCACUGGAUACUGGCAAGCUUGAGGACGGGAGAGGGAAGCGGAAUUCCAGGUGUAGCGGUGAAAUGCGUAGAUAUCUGGAGGAACACCGAUGGCGAAGGCAGCUUCCUGGCCUGUUUCUGACGCUGAGGUGCGAAAGCGUGGGGAGCGAACGGGAUUAGAUACCCCCGUAGUCC